GACGAACGCUGGCGGCGUGCUUAACACAUGCAAGUCGAACGGAAAGGCCCUGCUAUUGUGGGGUGCUCGAGUGGCGAACGGGUGAGUAACACGUGAGUAACCUGCCCUUGACUUUGGGAUAACUUCAGGAAACUGGGGCUAAUACCGGAUAGGAGCUCCUGCUGCAUGGUGGGGGUUGGAAAGUUUCGGCGGUCGGGGAUGGACUCGCGGCUUAUCAGCUUGUCGGUGGGGUAGUGGCUUACCAAGGCUUUGACGGGUAGCCGGCCUGAGAAGGUGACCGGCCACAUUGGGACUGGGGUACGGCCCAGACUCCUACGGGAGGCAGCAGUGGGGGAUAUUGCACAAUGGGCGGAAGCCUGAUGCAGCAACGCCGCGUGCGGGAUAACGGCCUUCGGGUUGUAAACCGCUUUCGCCUGUGACGAAGCGUGAGUGACGGUAAUGGGUAAAGAAGCACCGGCUAACUACGUG
rnacentral:rRNA from 1 species